rnacentral:rRNA from 1 species
AGUGAACGCUGGCGGUAGGCCUAACACAUGCAAGUCGAACGGCAGCACAGUAAGAGCUUGCUCCUACGGGUGGCGAGUGGCGGACGGGUGAGGAAUACAUCGGAAUCUACUUUUUCGUGGGGGAUAACGUAGGGAAACUUACGCUAAUACCGCAUACGACCUACGGGUGAAAGCAGGGGAUCUUCGGACCUUGCGCGACUGAAUGAGCCGAUGUCGGAUUAGCUAGUUGGCGGGGUAAAGGCCCACCAAGGCGACGAUCCGUAGCUGGUCUGAGAGGAUGAUCAGCCACACUGGAACUGAGACACGGUCCAGACUCCUACGGGAGGCAGCAGUGGGGAAUAUUGGACAAUGGGCGCAAGCCUGAUCCAGCCAUACCGCGUGGGUGAAGAAGGCCUUCGGGUUGUAAAGCCCUUUUGUUGGGAAAGAAAAGCAGCAGGUUAAUCCCCCGCUGUUCUGACGGUACCCAAAGAAUAAGCACCGGCUAACUUCGUG